rnacentral:rRNA from 1 species
GAUGAACGCUAGCUACAGGCUUAACACAUGCAAGUCGAGGGGCAGCGGUAUCGAAAGCUUGCUUUCGGUAGCCGGCGACCGGCGCACGGGUGAGUAACGCGUAUCGAACCUGCCUCAUACUCGGGAAUAGCCUUGCGAAAGUAAGAUUAAUGCCCGGUGUUUUCAGAGUCCCGCAUGAGGCUUUGAACAAAGAUUUAUCGGUAUGAGAUGGCGAUGCGUCCCAUUAGCUUGUUGGCGGGGUAACGGCCCACCAAGGCAUCGAUGGGUAGGGGUUCUGAGAGGAAGGUCCCCCACAUUGGAACGGAGACACGGUCCAAACUCCUACGGGAGGCAGCAGUGAGGAAUAGUGGUCAAUGGGCGGAAGCCUGAACCAGCCAAGUAGCGUGCAGGAAGACGGCCCUCCGGGUUGUAAACUGCUUUUAGUGGGGAAUAAAACGGGGCUCGUGAGCCCCCUUGCAUGUACCAUCAGAAAAAGGACCGGCUAAUUCCGUG